rnacentral:lncRNA from 1 species
GUUGAGGUUAGUCAGACAUAGGAAUGCAAAUAGUUAAUAGUAAGAGAUAUAAUUUGUAGCUUAGGAAAGAAGUCAGAGUCAAAGACAAUGAUUUGGGUGUUACCCACACACAUAAUAGGAGUUGUUGAAAUUACCUCCAACAUUCAUGUCAGUGAUUCACCACUCUCCAUGAAGAGCUGAACUGGCACAAGUGGCAACGUAUGUUACUGAUGUAAUUGGCACAAAACUGUUUUCUUAUUAUCUCCUUCACUGAAGCCCUAUAGCCAAGAAAUAAAUUCUACUGGGUGCGGUGGCUCUUACCUACAAUCCCAGCACCUUGAGAGGCCAGAGGAGGAUCGCUUGAGGCCAGAAGUUUGAGAUCGCCUGGGCAACAAAGCACAACCUCAUCUCUGCAAAAAAAUUUAAAAGUUAGCCAGGUGUGGUGGCACAUGCCUGUAGUCUCAGCUGCUUGGGAGGCUAAGGUUGCAACAAGGACAGUGUCAGAGCAGGCUGUAAAAAAUGUGGCUACCCUGGUCACCUGACUUUUGAAUGCCGCAAUUUUCUCCGAGUAGACCCUAAAAGGGACAUAGUUUUG